rnacentral:misc_RNA from 1 species
UGAGGACCAUGGUCUUAGCAGCAACUUCUUCCCAUUUAUAGUUGCAGAGAAAGAUGUUUGUUCUGAGAUUCGUACAUUGGAGAGCAUUAUUGAGGCUGCUAAAAUGGACGAUGGUUUUCUGCGAGGAACUGAAGAAUUUCAAGCCAGAGACCAAGCGCUGGACUUUUUACAUGAACUGGGUUGGCUGCUUCAUAGAUGUCAUUUGAAAUUUAGAGUGGGUUCUGGUGCCAGCUUGAAUCUCUUCCCUUUUCAGAGAUUCCAUCGGCUUAUAGAUUUCUCCAUUGACCAUGACUGGUGUGCUGUAGUAAAGAAACUGUUGGAUGUCUUCUUCAAUGGCGUUGUAGAUGUAGGACAACAGUCAUCGCUUGACAUUCCAUUGCAGGAGGUUGGCAUCCUUCAUCGAGCUGUGAGGAGAAAGUGCAGAUCUAUGAUAGAUGUCCUCUUGAAAUAUCGUCAUCAUGGAGCUUUUGACAAAUCAGGACUACAAACUCAACAAGAUGAUCGUGGCUAUUUAUUUAGACCUGACACAGUGGGUCCUGGGGGUUUGACUCCACUUCAUGUUGUUGCUAGUCUUGCUGGCUAUGAGAAUAUUUUGGAUGCAUUAAUUGAUGAUCCAGGAGAGGUAGGAAUUGAAGCUUGGAAAAGUGCCCGUGACAGUACUGGACUGACACCCAAUGAUUAUGCAUGCCUUCGAGGCCAUUACUCAUACGUCCAUAUGGUCCAGAAGAAAAUCAAUCAGAAACCAGGUGAUGGACAUGUUGUUCUUGAUAUCCCUGGUUCGUUGUUGGAUAGCAAUCUCAAGCAGAAACUAUCAGAUGGUCAUAGGUCAGUAAAAGUAACUAGCUUUCAAACUGAGAAGUCUUUAGGGAAACCAAUUCACCGACAAUGCAAACAGUGCAAGCAGAAAUUAUCUUAUGGAAACUCAGGAACAUCACUUGUAUACAAACCGGCAAUGCUUUCAAUGGUUGCAAUUGCUGCUAUAUGUGUUUGUGUAGCUUUGCUAUUCAAAAGUUCACCGGAGGUUCUUUAUUCGUUCAGACCCUUCAGAUGGGAGCUGCUGAAGUAUGGCUCCAUCUAAAAUAGGUACAGCCUCCUUAUGUUUUAAGAAGAUGAUAUAGGGAUGCCAUGGCUUGUUUUUUCUUCUGAAUUAAUAUGCCACGAUAUAAUUGGGAGAGCUCCAACUCUGUAUAUUUAUUUUGUCGAAUUCAUCAUAAUAUACAUAAGAAGCUUUAACUGCAAAUAGGAAAUUUGAACUUUUUAUAAGUUGAUAGCACUACUUGGAUAGGACUGGCCACUGGGAUUGUAGUCGUAGACGCCUCGGAUCUGUGCCCGAUUAUGUUGUGUAAGAUAAGUAAAUUGCUUUGUAUUUUAACUAUAUGCACUGCUAAUUGCCAG